AAAUCCCAUCAGCUCCACACAACCACUCAAGACCACAGAAAACUUUAUGCCGCCUUGCCUCCAUCCUGCUCCUAUCCCUCUCCGAAUAUCUGUUAUCUUCCGCCACCACUCCUCCAGCAUCACAAAACCCUUGAUGACUCUGACCCUAAAAGCGAGUUAUACUUCCAGCUUCCAUCCGACUUCCCCUGUUCUCGUUAUUCACGAUGUCGAUCUCAUCGCUCUUUUCUCUUGCUAGCGUCAUAACAUCCUCACUGUUGUAGCAAGGUAGCGACAUACCUCAUCAUUUACUCCUUAGCACUUAGCAACACCGAAGAUGGUAAGUUCUGAUUUUUGAUCAAUUAUUUUUGGGUAAUGUGGGAGUUCGAAUUUCAUUGUGUGCAAUUUUGUCUUCUGGCCCAUCUCUUGCCCGGUAGCAUGAAUUUUUCUUAAACUAUUGUAUUUUUAGUUCUCAAAUAUCUAUCAAUUUGCCAGCGCUUUAGUUUCCAAAUGUUUAUUGGAAAUAUAUUCUCAUCAAGUGGGAAGCAUCACAUGGAACGUCAUCUUGUUGAUAUAUUUAGCAGGUCCUUGUUUUAUUUUGUUACAAUAUGUUUUAUCUCAAGCAAUGUGAUAGCGAGAUGAUGAAGAAGAGGUCGUUAGUUGUUUGUAUCCUAAUGACAUAUAUACAAUGAUAAUAAAAACUUGCUUGUAUUAAUUUACUAGUAUAUAUCACCCUUGAUUUAAUAGUUUUGAUUAAUUCUUUAUGGUAUGAUGGAUACUAGUUGUAGAAGAUGAUAACUUUUGUGAUUUAUUUCUUUUUGCACAAAAUAUGUACCACAAUUGAUAAAUUUUGUGAUUUAUUUCUCACUUUAUGGAGUUUGGAUUUUGAUUUAACGAAGUCUUCAUUUUGAUUUUAUGUGACAUCCCCAAUUUCACGGUCAGAAAAGACCGAUUUAUUUAUGCUUAUUUUGAAAUCAAAGUUUCCUUAAAAGAAUAAUAUUGCGGAAUAUGUUCCCAAAAACAUGAUAAUGAUAUUAUUAAAACAUUUUCCAAUAAACGUAUUUAUAUUAAAACCUUGAGAUGUCAAUAUGUCAUUGUCGAUACAGUACAUAAGCAUAAAUGAAACAAUACAUACCUUACACUACUUAGGGGCUGUUUGAUUUGGUGCUGACAGGGUCCGAUCAAAUGUUUUGGUCUGACUCGGUCCGGUCAGGGUGUUUGAUAUGCUUCUGACCUAGGCCACACGUUUGACUCAGCCCAUAAAAACAACUAUCUCGAUCCUUUAAAAAAACAUGGUUGAUUGAAAACUUACCCACAUUUGGCCUUCUCUAUCUAGCCCUACACAUGAUUUCUUACUUACCCCCGUUACGAUUUCUUCUAGAUCCUCCUCGUACCUCCGGCCUCAACCUUUUCCUCCUUUCCAGCUCCACCUCGCCGGCAACCUCCUCCGACUUCGUCCUCUCUAAUGCUAGACCUCUAUCGCAGCUUCACUUUCGCCACUGCUUUAGCGACGUCGACUUCCUCCAGUAUUCCAUAGCAGCUUCACGUCGUCACUACACCAUCGUCUUCAUUAGGUAAGGUCAAUUUUCUUCAAGCUUUUUUUCCUUAUCUAAAUCGAUUUCUUGUAAUUUUUUGGUCGUCAGAGUUGAUUUUUGGUUGUUGAUUGGUUUCAUGUGUGUGAUUUCUCCAUCUAAUUGAUUUUAAGCAUCUAGUCGAUAGAGUGAAUACGAUAAUUCUCAGUGAAUAUGUUUGAUACCCUUUCCUUGAAUUUUAGGUUUUCUGUUUUGAGCCUCUUUGUUUAUUGUACAAUGUAAGCUAUAAAUUUAUGACUUUUGGAAUUGUAGAUCUAUUUGACUUUAAUUUUGGUUUUAAAUGUUUAAUGGUUUCUGAAUGAAUCUUUUUUACUUUAUGCAGCUUAUUGAUUAAUUUCAAUGAAGGAUAACAGCUCAGGAGACUGGGAUAAUGAAAUUUGAUGACUGGUACAAGGAAAUAGUUCAAGAAUACAUCAAUUUAAUGAAAACAAAAUCACUAUUUAUGCAUCAUGUUCCCUAGAUUAGUGGUAAUGUUGUCAUUGAUUAUUUUUUGAAGGUUUUGGUAAUGAGAUAGUUGAUAACUUUUUUCUUCAAUUCUUUAUAAAUUUACAUUAUUUUUUCAAUUUUUUGGAUCAAAUUGAGAAAAUUUAU
rnacentral:lncRNA from 1 species